UUGCCAAGGGCCAGACCCUGCUGGACAUGGUGUGUGGCCAUCUGAACCUGCUGGAGAGGGACUACUUUGGCCUGAAUUUCCAGGACACCGACAACGCCAAGCAUUGGCUGGAUCCCUCUAAAGAGAUUAAGAAGCAAAUUCGGGUUGGUUCCUGGAGCUUUGGAUUUUCUGUCAAGUUCUACCCUCCAGACCCGUCUGUGCUCAUGGAAGAUAUCACUAGGUA